rnacentral:rRNA from 1 species
GAUGAACGCUAGCGGCAGGCUUAACACAUGCAAGUCGAGGGGUAGAGGUUGCUUGCAACCUUGAGACCGGCGCACGGGUGCGUAACGCGUAUGCAACCUACCUUUUACAGAGGGAUAGCCCAGAGAAAUUUGGAUUAAUACCUCAUAGUAUAUAACCUUCGCAUGUUGGUUAUAUUAAAGUUCCAACGGUAAAAGAUGGGCAUGCGUCCUAUUAGCUAGAUGGUAAGGUAACGGCUUACCAUGGCAACGAUAGGUAGGGGUCCUGAGAGGGAGAUCCCCCACACUGGUACUGAGACACGGACCAGACUCCUACGGGAGGCAGCAGUGAGGAAUAUUGGACAAUGGGCGCAAGCCUGAUCCAGCCAUGCCGCGUGCAGGAAGAAGCAUCUAUGGUGUGUAAACUGCUUUUGUACAGGAAGAAACACCCCGACGUGUCGGGGCUUGACGGUACUGUAAGAAUAAGGAUCGGCUAACUCCGUGCCAGCAGCCGCCGCAG